UACGUAGGGCGCAAGCGUUGUCCGGAAUUAUUGGGCGUAAAGCGCGCGUAGGCGGCUUUGCAAGUCGGGUGUGAAAUCCCCAGGCUUAACCUGGGAACUGCAUUCGAGACUGCAUUGCUAGAGUAUGGGAGAGGGAAGUGGAAUUUCCGGUGUAGCGGUGAAAUGCGUAGAUAUCGGAAGGAACAUCAGUGGCGAAAGCGACUUCCUGGACCAAUACUCACGCUCAUGUGCGAAAGCGUGGGGAGCAAACAGG
rnacentral:rRNA from 1 species